rnacentral:tRNA from 1 species
GGGAAUGUAGCUCAAUGGCACAGCGCCUGGCUGGCAAGUGUGAGGCCCUGAGUUUGAUUCCCAGCACCCCCC